UGUAGGUUNGUCCGCGGGUACUGGGUUUAAUGGGUUUAACUCAUCCCCUUUCUUAAACGUCAAGUCGGCAUCGCCGAUGUAACGCGGGCACAGAAAUGCUGCAACUGGCCGCAUCAUUCCAUCCCAGCCUUAUUCAACCUCGCCUCUCACCGGAAUUCCAUCGCCGACACUCUCUCCAGCAAACUUCAAACGCAAAAGAAUUAACCCUACUCCACGCUCAACCCAUUUUCACUUCAACAACCCUUUCCAACAACAAUCAGAGCAGUAUCUAUAACAAUGAAAAACUCGUUAAGAAGGCUCUCUUUUCUUACAAUACCAUUAUCAAAUGCUUCCUUCAAAACCGUCGCUCUCAGGAUGCUCUUGUGGUUUUUGUGGAUUUGCUUUGUUGUCCGGGGAUGUUGCCAGACGAGUUCACGUUACCGUGUGUGAUCAAGGCGUGUGCGAAUCUAAGGACUAUUAAGGAAGGGAAAAUGAUUCAUGGGUUGGCGUUGAAACUCGGUUUUGGGUCUGGUUCGGGUGUUCAUGUGGAGAGUAGUUUGGUGAGUUUGUAUUCAAAAUGUGGUGAUAUUGAUUCUGCACGGAAAGUUUUUGAUAAAAUGCUUGUGAAGGAUUUGGUUUCAUGGAAUGUGUUGUUGGAUGGUUACGUAAAGUGUGGUGGGGAGAAUAUUGAGGUUAUUCUGAGACUGUUUGAUGAGAUGCCCGAAAAGGAUGCCUUCUCAUGUACUGUGUUGAUUGAUGGGUUGGCCAAGAGUGGAAGAGUUGACGAAGCAAGAGAGGUGUUUGAUAGUAUGUUGGAUAAGAAUGUGGCUUCAUGGAAUGCAAUGAUUUAUGGGUAUAUGAAGUAUGGAAACUAUAAACUCGCAGGUGAUUUGUUUGAUAGAAUGGACGAGAGAAAUAUAAUCACUUGGAAUUCGAUAAUUUCUGGGUAUGAAUUAAAUGGUAAGUUUCUGGAAGCUCUGCGAAUGUUUCAGGUGAUGUUGGAUAAGGGCCUCAAGGCUAAUGAUGUGACGAUAGUUAGUGUACUUUCUGCAAUUUCGAAGUUGGCUUCGCUUAGUAAAGGUAGGUGGGUGCAUUCGUAUAUGUCAAAAGCUGGGUAUAGAUUAGAUGGUGUACUUGGUAUAUCUUUGAUAGAAAUGUACUCCAAGUGUGGGAGCAUUGAGAGUGCUUUGAUGGUUUUUCGAGGAAUAUCCAAGAAGAAGCUGGGGCAUUGGACAGCCAUUAUUGUAGGAUUGGGGAUGCAUGGUAUGGCUCCUGAUGCAACUGACUUGUUUCUUGAAAUGCAAAGGAAUGGAAUUAAGCCUAAUGCCAUUACAUUUGUUGGAGUCUUGAAUGCUUGUAGUCAUGUGGGAAUGGUGGAUGAUGGUCGGCGUUAUUUUUCUAUGAUGAAAAAUGAGUAUGGAAUAGAACAAACUGUUGAGCACUAUGGUUGCUUGGUGGACAUUCUUUGUCGAGCUGGUCAUCUUGAUGAGGCAAAGAGUACCAUUGAAAAGAUGCCUAUGAAGCCAAGCAAGAUAAUAUGGAUGACUUUACUUAGCAGUGCAAGAAAUUAUAGAAACAUUGAUAUUGGUGAAUAUGCAGCAAAGAACUUGAUCGAGUUAGCUCCUGAAACUGUUCAGUGCUAUGUACUCCUUUCUAAUAUGUAUGCUGUUGCAGGACAGUGGGAAAAAGUUUCGCUGGUUAGAGAAAUGAUGAAGAGGAGAGGGUUUAAGAAAGAACCAGGGUGUAGUUCAAUUGAACACAAGGGUGUGCUUCAUGAAUUCAUGGUAGGAGACAAAUCCCAUCCUCAAUCUGAAUUGAUAUAUUCGAAAUUGAGUGAGAUGAAGAAUAAGUUGAGACUAGCGGGACAUGUUCCUGAUACGACUCAAGUAUUAUUAUUUGUUGAAGGGGAGAAAGAGAAACAAGCUGAACUGGAAAACCAUAGUGAGAGGUUGGCUAUCGCAUUCGGCCUUAUAAACGUUGACCGAAAAAAUCACAUUCGUGUGGUGAAGAACCUUAGAGUUUGUAACGACUGCCAUUCUGUGAUGAAGUUUCUGUCCAAGAUCUAUGAACGUGUAAUUAUUGUGAGAGAUAAUAGCAGGUUCCAUCAUUUCAAAAAUGGGUCAUGUUCAUGCAACGACUAUUGGUGAUUGAGAAUUAUGCUGUCUCACAUUAAGGUCUUGUUUCAGUUUGUUCAACUAAUAACAUGAUGGAGACCCAACCAUCACUCCCAAAAGCACAGGUUUGAGGGUGAUUGAAUCUCACAACUAUUAGGCCCUAACAAUACCCAAUGGCCCCAAAUCUGACGGCCACAGCGGCCCAAUCCAUGACCUUUGCUUUACGUGGCCGGCCAUUAUUUGACUGCCGGUAUUUGGCACUUAGUUUUGGUCGCCCCUUCCGGAAUUCGAACUUGUGGCUUGGGUCUACUCUGAUACCAAUUGAUGGAGACCCAACCAUCUCUCCCAAAAGCCCAGGCUUGAGGGUGAUUGAAUUCCACAACUAUUAGAUCCUAACAUGACAUUAGGAUUGUGUUUUAGCUAUACCCCCAAUUAGGAGAGCUAGUCUUUUGGCUGUACGCAAAAUCUUCACAUGGUGGAUGUAUGUCCUGAGAUACGGUCCAGUACAUUAUGCAAUUUCUCAGACCUUGGAGGAUUCAUGCUUGCGCCUUUUUCGUCCUUACAGCAUAACCAGUGUAAUUUUCUUUUUGUUGCCAUAUGCUUUUUAUUUUUAUAUGUCACCUACACUACAAUUCCUUGUGCUGUCUGCUAGUCAUUUAUUUACUUCACUUUUUCUUUUCUGUGGAUGCAUGCCCUCAUUACUAGAAAUGCGAGGUCUUUUAUUCUGUUUUCAAACAUUAAGAGUCAUAAUCAAUCCUAUUUCAG
rnacentral:lncRNA from 1 species